rnacentral:rRNA from 1 species
GACGAACGCUGGCGGCGUGCUUAACACAUGCAAGUCGAACGGAAAGGCCCUGCUUUUGUGGGGUGCUCGAGUGGCGAACGGGUGAGUAACACGUGAGUAACCUGCCCUUGACUUUGGGAUAACUUCAGGAAACUGGGGCUAAUACCGGAUAGGAGCUCCUGCUGCAUGGGGGGGGUUGGAAAGUUUCGGCGGUUGGGGAUGGACUCGCGGCUUAUCAGCUUGUUGGUGGGGUAGUGGCUUACCAAGGCUUUGACGGGUAGCCGGCCUGAGAGGGUGACCGGCCACAUUGGGACUGAGAUACGGCCCAGACUCCUCCGGGAGGCAGCAGUGGGGAAUAUUGCACAAUGGGCGGAAGCCUGAUGCAGCAACGCCGCGUGCGGGAUGACGGCCUUCGGGUUGUAAACCGCUUUCGCCUGUGACGAAGCGUGAGUGACGGUAAUGGGUAAAGAAGCACCGGCUAACUACGUG